rnacentral:rRNA from 1 species
AUUGAACGCUGGCGGCAGGCCUAACACAUGCAAGUCGAGCGGAUGACGGGAGCUUGCUCCUUGAUUCAGCGGCGGACGGGUGAGUAAUGCCUAGGAAUCUGCCUGGUAGUGGGGGACAACGUUUCGAAAGGAACGCUAAUACCGCAUACGUCCUACGGGAGACAGCAGGGGACGUUCGGGCCUUGCGCUAUCAGAUGAGCCUAGGUCGGAUUAGCUAGUUGGUGGGGUAAUGGCUCACCAAGGCGACGAUCCGUAACUGGUCUGAGAGGAUGAUCAGUCACACUGGAACUGAGACACGGUCCAGACUCCUACGGGAGGCAGCAGUGGGGAAUAUUGGACAAUGGGCGAAAGCCUGAUCCAGCCAUGCCGCGUGUGUGAAGAAGGUCUUCGGAUUGUAUAGCACUUUAAGUUGGGAGGAAGGGCAGUAAGCUAAUACCUUGCUGUUUUGACGUUACCGACAGAAUAAGCACCGGCUAACUCUGUGCCAGCCGCCGCGGUAACAC